AGAGUUUGAUCCUGGCUCAGAGUGAACGCUGGCGGCAGGCCUAACACAUGCAAGUCGAACGGCAGCACAGUAAGAGCUUGCUCUUAUGGGUGGCGAGUGGCGGACGGGUGAGGAAUACAUCGGAAUCUACUCUUUCGUGGGGGAUAACGUAGGGAAACUUACGCUAAUACCGCAUACGACCUACGGGUGAAAGCGGAGGACCUUCGGGCUUCGCGCGAUUGAAUGAGCCGAUGUCGGAUUAGCUAGUUGGCGGGGUAAAGGCCCACCAAGGCGACGAUCCGUAGCUGGUCUGAGAGGAUGAUCAGCCACACUGGAACUGAGACACGGUCCAGACUCCUACGGGAGGCAGCAGUGGGGAAUAUUGGACAAUGGGCGCAAGCCUGAUCCAGCCAUGCCGCGUGGGUGAAGAAGGCCUUCGGGUUGUAAAGCCCUUUUGUUGGGAAAGAAAAGCAGUCGGUUAAUACCCGAUUGUUCUGACGGUACCCAAAGAAUAAGCACCGGCUAACUUCGUGCCAGCAGCCGCGGUAAUACGAAGGGUGCAAGCGUUACUCGGAAUUACUGGGCGUAAAGCGUGCGUAGGUGGUGGUUUAAGUCUGUUGUGAAAGCCCUGGGCUCAACCUGGGAAUUGCAGUGGAUACUGGGUCACUAGAGUGUGGUAGAGGGUAGCGGAAUUCCCGGUGUAGCAGUGAAAUGCGUAGAGAUCGGGAGGAACAUCCGUGGCGAAGGCGGCUACCUGGACCAACACUGACACUGAGGCACGAAAGCGUGGGGAGCAAACAGGAUUAGAUACCCUGGUAGUCCACGCCCUAAACGAUGCGAACUGGAUGUUGGGUGCAAUUUGGCACGCAGUAUCGAAGCUAACGCGUUAAGUUCGCCGCCUGGGGAGUACGGUCGCAAGACUGAAACUCAAAGGAAUUGACGGGGGCCCGCACAAGCGGUGGAGUAUGUGGUUUAAUUCGAUGCAACGCGAAGAACCUUACCUGGUCUUGACAUCCACGGAACUUUCCAGAGAUGGAUUGGUGC
rnacentral:rRNA from 1 species